rnacentral:lncRNA from 1 species
AAUAAAUAAAUAAAUCUUUAAAAAAAAAAAAAGAAGAAGUGAGGGUAGAUAGCCGGGCAGGCCGGGCAGUGAUGGGACACACAUUUAAUCCUAGCAUUCUAGAGACAGGCAGGUGCUCUGGAGGCAAAGGCAGGAGGAUCUCUGAGUUCAAGGCCAGCAUAAUCUACAGAGAAAGUUCCAGGACAGCCAAGUUAGGCACUGAAGGAGUUGAAAAACAAAAGGUUGGUGAUAAUGUCAUAAGACAAGGUGCCCAUGUCCCAGCUCCAGCAAGCAGCAGAACUCAGCAGCUUCGGGCAUGUGGCUCUGGCUUUAGAGUCAAGAAUAGAAGGGACUACUGGGGCAAUUGAUGCUGUUUAGCUGGAGCUAAGAAAUUAGUGGUGAUUAUGAAGAGACCAGCAUCACUGAGGUGAAAUCUUCUGGGAAGUAUUUUCUAAAAGCAGAAAGAAGCUGUGUUCUAGAAAUAGCCGGGGAUGUACCUCAUGCUGGAAGCCAGACUUGGUAAUGUAUAAGAAUCACCCAAGUGGUACUAGUUUUGAAGGCGUAAAGUGUUAUGGAGAGCAGCUUAGCUUGGCACUGUGAGAUGCCAGGGAAGGCCAUUGGUGAAAGUGCAGCUUGAGUUGCAGUUGAUGGCCCAGGCCUGAGGGAUCAUGCAAAGAAGUUAAGGUCAGGUACCUUAAAGGGAGCCUAUGAGAGGCUAUUGACGACGCCUAAUUGCAGUGAGAAAUCCCAGCGUAUUAGAGAUGCCAGCACCGCACCAUGGGAUGACCACCAGGAACAGCAGCAGCAGUGGAAUGGAGUCAACCAGAGCCUAGAGUGCUACAGAAGGCAGAGCUGGAGAAAUGACAGGUCCCUUUGGAGGAACCCCGAAAAUCGUGUGGAUCCCAGACAUUGAAACAAGAAACUAUAAACAUUGAAGUUGCUUUGGAGACCCUAAAAUAUUCCAGAGGCCAGAGUUAUGUGAUACCUGAAUCUACU